rnacentral:tRNA from 1 species
GGAGAGGUCGCAUAGUCUGGUCUAGUGCGGUCGCCUCGAAAGCGACUAGGCGUUUAUCCGUCUCGUGGGUUCGAAUCCCACCCUCUCCG